rnacentral:tRNA from 1 species
UCCGCAGUAGCUCAAUGGUGGAGCGAGUGACUGUUAAUCACUAGGUUGUAGGUUCGAGUCCUACCUGCGGAGCCA